UACGGGGGGGGCAAGCGUUGUUCGGAAUUACUGGGCGUAAAGGGUUUGUAGGUGGCUUGUUAAGUCAGACGUGAAAUCCCUCAGCUUAACUGGGGAACUGCGUCUGAUACUGGCGAGCUUGAGUGCAGGAGAGGAACGCGGAAUUCCAGGUGUAGCGGUGAAAUGCGUAGAUAUCAGGAGGAACACCGGUGGCGAAGGCGGCUAUCUGGACAGAGUCUGACGCUGAGGCGCGAAAGCUAGGGGAGCAAACAGG
rnacentral:rRNA from 1 species